GGGUAAUGGGGCCCCACAGGCUUACUGAUCCUAACCAAACUCCGAAUACCUGAGAGUACUAUGCGGCAGACACACUACGGGUGCUAAGGUCCGUGGUGGAAAGGGAAACAGCCCUGACCGACAGCUAAGGUCCCUAAAUUAUGGCUAAGUUGGAAAGGAUGUAGGAAUCCCAAAACAACCAGGAGGUUGGCUUAGAAGCAGCCAUCCUUUAAAGAAAGCGUAACAGCUCACUGGUCUAAAUAAGGGUUCCCGCGCCGAAAAUGUAACGGGGAUUAAGCCAUAUACCGAAGCUUCGGGCGUGAUUUAUCACGCGGUAGCGGAGCGUUCUCC
rnacentral:rRNA from 15 species